ACACGUAAAAGGAGCUCAUUCGGAGGCAGGGGCACGCGCUUGUCCCCAGAACUCAAACCCCAGAGUCCCUCCGGCAGAUGAGAGUGGAGGUUGUAAAUCACCCUCCAUGCAAUGGUUCAUCAUAAAGGAUAUGGAGCAAAAUUAGAGGAGGCACGAGAAGGAAAGCCGGUGAUGAACAAGGAAAGUGCCUGGUUGAAGCUAGCUUGCAAUCCCAAAGUCAGAAGGUUGCCUGGGAAGCCAUGAAACAAAGCCAAAUCAAGGCAAAGCAGACACAUGGAGAUUUUGAGACUGAGAAGAGGAAAACUGAGGACAUUCAUGUGAGAUGGUUUCAAGUUUCCCUUAGAAGGAGAAGUUAUCUUCAGAAGGUCAGGUUGGUGAGGUGGGAGUUCAAAAACAACAAAGUAUGUAGCUACCAUUGUGAGGAAGACCAUGGAAAAUGGACGAAUCAGAAUGAAAGGCUUUCUGAACAAGAGGGAGUUUCCCUGCACAAGCUCCCUCCUGCCUGCUGCCAUGUGAGACCUGCGUUUUGCCUUCCACCAUGACUGUGAGGCCUCUUCCCCGGCCAUGUGGAACUCCCAGAGACAGAAGCAGAUAAUGCAAGUGUCAUCUACAUCUGGCAAAAGCCAAAGGUUUGGAAGAUGGAAAAAGGAAUCCAGGCAAAAAGGAGCCCAAGAUUGAAGUGAAUGACCAGGUGCACCAGUUCAAAUGCAAUCAGGAGGGACAGGGGUAGAGGGAGAAGCCUAGAGCAGCGCUUCUCAAACUGACUAUUCAAGUCACCUGGAGAUCUUGGUGAAAUGCAGACUCUGGUGCAGUAGGUCCUGGCGGGAACUUGAAAUUCUGCAUUUUGACCAAGGUCCAAGGUGAAUGUCCAGUGCUGUUGUCCUUGGCCUGCAGCAGGAGGAGCAGGGAUCUAAGACUUGGAGAGCAAAUGUCAAGCUCAGAAGAAAGACUGGAAGUUUGGGGACAAAACCCAAAUAUGGCUAAAGAAAGCCUGUAGGAUGAAGUUGGAAGUUCCAGAGCCUUCUCUUCACAUAAUGGGACAUGCAAGGGGGAAACCAAAUCAAAAGUGUAGAAUGCGUCGCUGGAUGUCUUUGACAUGUUAUUGUUCUGAUAGAAUAUCAGCGGGGAGCUACUGAGGACCUCCUCACUACCCUCCCUUGGAAGAGUUUGUCUGCAAUGGAGCCAACACAGUGGAAAGCAGAGCUGAGAAAUGGACAAACAACUCCUGAUGCCUCAUUUGAGCACCUGGAUUUAGCCAUGUCUGAAGCUAUUAAUCUUCCCCACCAAGUUAGAACCUGUGUCAUGUUCCUCUGAACUGUGUUUGUCCCCUUCGGGGGACCCCACAUGCUACGGACACCUGAUGAUUCGACCUGUUCACCAUCCCUUCAGCCCUGAACUGGCAACAGUAUCCUCAUUAUUCAUGAGAAAACGAUUCCUCCUCCCUUCCCAGACCAUGAGGAUUGAGUGGAAUUCACUCCAUCCUUCUCAGCUCCCUGACUGAACCAGCCCCUGUGGGAAGAGAAAGCCCCCAGGCUGAGAAUCAACUGAGCUGCAUUGAGGAGCCCCAGGUGUGUGUCCAGGAAUGCCAAGUGCAGAAGGGCUAUGCACGGGGCACCAUCAUGACCUGCUGCAGAGACCGUCCCUGAGAACAGAGGAGCAGAGAGAGAGAAGAGCAAGAGAUGGGCAAGGACAGAGUCACAAUCCCAGUGUCUGGCCCCUGCCUCCGGCCUUGUCUCAGCUAGCUCUGUCACUGGACUUUCAUUUGUCUGGGACCAAUAUCUCUCUUCCUUCCUAAAGAUGACUGCAGACUGGUUUCUGCCCUGUGUAAUGAAAAGAUCAUGAUGUGCACAGCUUUUUACCCCAUCUUAAGAAUAUUUGAGCACUUAUCUCCAUAGAGGGCAGAAUCUGUAAUGAAUUUACUUUUCAGUCCUCCAUAACACCUGUCGCAAGGUUUGUACAGUUUUCAAGAAAUACUGGGUAGAUGAAUGAAUGGAUACUGAAAAGACCCACUAAAAUUUAAUGCAAAUCUGUAACAACAGAUGCCCAUUUAAGGCACAUGGCAGAGGGCAAGGUGGCAUAGGGAGAAAGCAGUU
rnacentral:lncRNA from 1 species